CGCGUUGGCCCAAUUGAUUGAUGGUGCUUGCACCUGAUUGAUUUUGGUCGCCAACGAGUGGCGGACGGGUGAGUAACACGUAGGUAACCUGCCCAGAAGCGGGGGACAACAUUUGGAAACAGAUGCUAAUACCGCAUAACAACGUUGUUCGCAUGAACAACGCUUAAAAGAUGGCUUCUCGCUAUCACUUCUGGAUGGACCUGCGGUGCAUUAGCUUGUUGGUGGGGUAACGGCCUACCAAGGCGAUGAUGCAUAGCCGAGUUGAGAGACUGAUCGGCCACAAUGGGACUGAGACACGGCCCAUACUCCUACGGGAGGCAGCAGUAGGGAAUCUUCCACAAUGGGCGCAAGCCUGAUGGAGCAACACCGCGUGAGUGAAGAAGGGUUUCGGCUCGUAAAGCUCUGUUGUUAAAGAAGAACACGUAUGAGAGUAACUGUUCAUACGUUGACGGUAUUUAACCAGAAAGUCACGGCUAACUACGUGCCAGCAGCCGCGGUAAUACGUAGGUGGCAAGCGUUAUCCGGAUUUAUUGGGCGUAAAGAGAGUGCAGGCGGUUUUCUAAGUCUGAUGUGAAAGCCUUCGGCUUAAC
rnacentral:rRNA from 2 species